rnacentral:rRNA from 1 species
GAUGAACGCUGGCGGCGUGCCUAAUACAUGCAAGUCGAGCGAACAGACGAGGAGCUUGCUCCUCUGACGUUAGCGGCGGACGGGUGAGUAACACGUGGAUAACCUACCUAUAAGACUGGGAUAACUUCGGGAAACCGGAGCUAAUACCGGAUAAUAUAUUGAACCGCAUGGUUCAAUAGUGAAAGACGGUUUUGCUGUCACUUAUAGAUGGAUCCGCGCCGCAUUAGCUAGUUGGUAAGGUAACGGCUUACCAAGGCAACGAUGCGUAGCCGACCUGAGAGGGUGAUCCGCCAAACCGGAACCGAGACAACGUCCAAACUCCUAAGGGAGGCAGCAGUAGGGAAUCUUCCGCAAUGGGCGAAAGCCUGACGGAGCAACGCCGCGUGAGUGAUGAAGGUCUUCGGAUCGUAAAACUCUGUUAUUAGGGAAGAACAAAUGUGUAAGUAACUAUGCACGUCUUGACGGUACCUAAUCAGAAAGCCACGGCUAACUACGUG